GUAGACAUGCGUGGGACAAACUGUAGGUCGUCCUCAGGACGGCAGCGCGUAUAGCGUGGGAUCCUACAGCCCAGGGUCUACGUUUU
rnacentral:sRNA from 1 species